rnacentral:rRNA from 1 species
UAGGGAAUCUUCCACAAUGGACGCAAGUCUGAUGGAGCAACGCCGCGUGAGUGAAGAAGGUCUUCGGAUCGUAAAGCUCUGUUGUUGGUGAAGAAGGAUAGAGGCAGUAACUGGUCUUUAUUUGACGGUAAUCAACCAGAAAGUUACGGCUAACUACGUGCCAGCAGCCGCGGUAAUACGUAGGUGGCAAGCGUUGUCCGGAUUUAUUGGGCGUAAAGCGAGCGCAGGCGGAAUGAUAAGUCUGAUGUGAAAGCCCACGGCUCAACCGUGGAACUGCAUCGGAAACUGUCAUUCUUGAGUGCAGAAGAGGAGAGUGGAACUCCAUGUGUAGCGGUGGAAUGCGUAGAUAUAUGGAAGAACACCAGUGGCGAAGGCGGCUCUCUGGUCUGCAACUGACGCUGAGGCUCGAAAGCAUGGGUAGCGAACAGGAUUAGAUACCCUGGUAGUCCAUGCCGUAAACGAUGAGCGCUAGGUGUUGGGGCACUU